UCGAGAAUCUUCGGCAAUGGGCGCAAGCCUGACCGAGCGACGCCGCGUGUGCGAUGAAGGCCUUCGGGUUGUAAAGCACUGUCGAGGGGGAGGAAGCCGCAAGGUUGACCUAUCCCUGGAGGAAGCACGGGCUAAGUUCGUGCCAGCAGCCGCGGUAAGACGAACCGUGCGAACGUUAUUCGGAAUCACUGGGCUUAAAGGGCGCGUAGGCGGGCUAGCAAGUCAGGGGUGAAAUCCUUCGGCUCAACCGGAGAACUGCCUUUGAUACUGCUAGUCUCGAGGGAGGUAGGGGUCUGCGGAACUUCCGGUGGAGCGGUGAAAUGCGUUGAUAUCGGAAGGAACGCCGGUGGCGAAAGCGGCGGACUGGACCUCUUCUGACGCUGAGGCGCGAAAGCCAGGGGAGCAAACGG
rnacentral:rRNA from 1 species